rnacentral:rRNA from 1 species
AGAGUUUGAUCCUGGCUCAGGACGAACGCUGGCGGCGUGCCUAACACAUGCAAGUCGAACGGAAGUUAGAGCUUCGGUUUUAACUUUAGUGGCGAACGGGUGAGUAACGCGUGAGGAACCUGCCUUUCAGUGGGGGACAACAGUUGGAAACGACUGCUAAUACCGCAUGAUGCUUUUGGGAGACAUCUCCUGGAAGCCAAAGCUUUAUGUGCUGAAAGAUGGCCUCGCGUCUGAUUAGCUAGUUGGUGAGGUAACGGCUCACCAAGGCGACGAUCAGUAGCCGGUCUGAGAGGAUGAACGGCCACAUUGGGACUGAGAUACGGCCCAGACUCCUACGGGAGGCAGCAGUGGGGAAUAUUGGGCAAUGGGGGAAACCCUGACCCAGCAACGCCGCGUGAAGGAAGAAGGCCUUCGGGUUGUAAACUUCUUUUACCAGGGACGAAGGACGUGACGGUACCUGGAGAAAAAGCAACGGCUAACUACGUGCCAGCAGCCGCGGUAAUACGUAGGUUGCAAGCGUUGUCCGGAUUUACUGGGUGUAAAGGGCGUGUAGGCGGAGAUGCAAGUUGGGAGUGAAAUCCAUGGGCUCAACCCAUGAACUGCUCUCAAAACUGUAUCCCUUGAGUAUCGGAGAGGCAAGCGGAAUUCCUAGUGUAGCGGUGAAAUGCGUAGAUAUUAGGAGGAACACCAGUGGCGAAGGCGGCUUGCUGGACGACAACUGACGCUGAGGCGCGAAAGCGUGGGGAGCAAACAGGAUUAGAUACCCUGGUAGUCCACGCUGUAAACGAUGAAUACUAGGUG